GAAUGGAAGAGUGACCUAGCUGUGACCCUCCACCCCAUUGAUUGCCUGAGCCCAUUAGGCUGAUGUGGUGGCCUUGGGUCUUCUUUCUCCAUCUCUGUAUUCUGCAGGCUUAAGUUGCUGGCUCCGACAAGAGGAUGACUUUCCUGAGAAAGGAUGGUUCUUCCUCAACACACUAUGCAGCACCAACACUGCUGCGCAAUGAAAUGUCAAAGAGGGACUUUUCUGGGGUCCUAAGAUUCUUCCAGGAGUGUUGAGAGAACACUGGGGAAAGAGUUAAGUGAGCUUCUUUUUCCCUG
rnacentral:sRNA from 1 species